rnacentral:rRNA from 1 species
UAUGUGAUCGUCUCUCGCAUAUCAAUAAGCGGAGGAAAAGAAACUAACAAGGAUUCCCCUAGUAGCGGCGAGUGAAGCGGGAAGAGCUCAAAUUUGAAAUCUUAAAGGGUUUCCCUUUACGAAUUGUAGUUUAAAGAAGUGUUUUCUGUUGAGGUUUUGGUAAAAGUUCUUUGGAAUAGGACAUCAUAGAGGGUGAGAAUCCCGUAUUUGACCUUUACUUUCAACUUUGUGAUACACUUUCAAAGAGUCGGAUUGUUUGGGAAUGCAGUCCAAAAUGGGUGGUAAAUUUCAUCUAAAGCUAAAUAUUGGCGAGAGACCGAUAGCGAACAAGUACCGUGAGGGAAAGAUGAAAAGAACUUUGAAAAGAGAGUUAAACAGUACGUGAAAUUGUCAAAAGGGAAGCGUUUGACACCAGUGUUGUUUUUCUGAAAAUCAAUUAAAGAACUGUUUAUGCUAAGUUGUUUAGACUUUAUCAGCUAACUGUUUAGUUUUGAGCUUUUCUUUAAUGCACUUUUCAGUUAACAAGUCAACAUCAAUUUCUUUUGCUGUAAAAAAGCUUGAGGAAGGUGGCUUGAGAUUCGUCUUAAGUGUUUAUAGCCUCUUGCCUAUGCAGUCGGAGAGAUUGAGGUCUGCAGCGUAGAUCCUUCGGGGCUAAAUGCAUUUGUGCUAAGUUAUAGCAUUUUAUAGACAACUUGUUGACUAUGAUUUGUCUUGUAGCUUACUCGCUUAUGUUAUUUUACCUACGCUUAGGAUGUUGAGCGCAUGUCUCUCUCU